GAUGAAGAACGUAGCGAAAUGCGAUAAGUAAUGUGAAUUGCAGAAUUCAGUGAAUCAUCGAAUCUUUGAACGCACAUUGCGCCCUCUGGUAUUCCGGGGGGCAUGCCUGUUCGAGCGUCAUUAUAACCACUCAAGCUCUCGCUUGGCAUUGGGGUUCGCGGUUCCGCGGCCCCUAAAAUCAGUGGCGGUGCCUGUCGGCUCUACGCGUAGUAAUACUCCUCGCGAUUGAGUCCGGUAGGUCUACUUGCCAGCAACCCCCAAUUUUUACAGGUUGACCUCGGAUCAGGUAGGGAUACCCGCUGAACUUAAGCAUAUCAAUAAGCGGAGGA
rnacentral:misc_RNA from 1 species